AUACGUAGGGGGCGAGCGUUGUCCGGAAUGAUUGGGCGUAAAGGGCGCGUAGGCGGCCCGGUAAGUCUGGAGUGAAAGUCAUGUUUUUAAGAUGGAAUUGCUUUGGAUACUGUCGGGCUUGAGUGCAGGAGAGGUAAGUGGACUUCCCAGUGUAGCGGUGAAAUGCGUAGAGAUUGGGAGGAACACCAGUGGCGAAGGCGACUUACUGGACUGUAACUGACGCUGAGGCGCGAAAGUGUGGGGAGCAAACAGGAUUAGAUACCCUGGUAGUCCACACUGUAAACGAUGAAUGCUAGGUGUAGUGGGUAUCGACCCCUUCUGUGCCGCAGUCAACACAAUAAGCAUUCCGCCUGGGGAGUACGGCCGCAAGGUUGAAACUCAAAGGAAUUGACGGGG
rnacentral:rRNA from 1 species